rnacentral:tRNA from 1 species
GGGCGCAUAGCGCAGUGGUAGCGCGUACGCCUUGCAAGCCGAAUGCCCCGGGUUCAAUCCCCGGUGUGUCCA